CAAGACCGUGAGGUGGAGCAAAACUCAAAAACUUAGUCUCAGUUCGGAUUGUAGGCUGAAACUCGCCUACAUGAAGCUGGAGUUGCUAGUAAUCGCGAAUCAGCAUGUCGCGGUGAAUACGUUCCCGGGCCUUGUACACACCGCCCGUCACACCAUGAGAGUUGGCAAUACCCAACGUACGUGAUCUAACCCGCAAGGGAGGAAGCGUCCUAAGGUAGGGUCAGCGAUUGGGGUGAAGUCGUAACAAGGUACC
rnacentral:rRNA from 1 species